rnacentral:lncRNA from 1 species
AACCAACUAUAUCAACCAAAUAUCUCAUAAUCUUCAAUUAAACAGUUAUUCACCACUGUUAAUCAAUCACUUGCAACACAGUAAUCUUAAACUCAUCUCUAAAACACUAUAAGAGAAUCUAAUACUAGUCAUGGGUCUAAUAAUGAACGAAUACUCAUGACACUAAUAAAAUGAAUAUAGAGCGACUCUAAGAGUUCAAAUGGAGAGAACAUAGCAAACAAAUAAACUCUUCGCCCACAUGAACAAAUGUGGAGCUCACCAGGAACUAUCAACUAGUGUACUCUAAUUAAUGAAAUCCUCGCUCGCGUCAACUGCUGUCUCUAUAAAAGAAAUAGCGGGGAGUGAGUCACUAGCUCAGUGAGUAAUAACACUUAUUCACAAUCGUUUUAAUAGGGACAAGUCAGAAACAUGCGUUUAUAGUAAUAAUAAUCAGAAACUAUCAUAAAAAUAAAAUUCUCUCAAAACGGUAAAUAUAAUCAGUUUAUUCAUGAUUUCCUGUAACUAAAAUCAAUUUAACAAAUCAUUAAUAAACUCGAUAAACACUGUCUCAUACAAAAUCUUUAUAUUUGGGAGGUUUCCAAGAAAGGAUCAUGUAAUCUACAUCACUAUGUGGACCCCUUCGUAAAAGGAGUCAAAUGUAACUUGUAGGCCUCUACUCGAGAAAAAACUGUAACUGUAUGCUAGUUCUACCUUCCCACUAUUGAGAGCUAUAACUGUACUCGGUAAUCGGUAAAUACAAAGUGCACCGGGUCUAACGAACACACAGUCAGCUACGGGAUCCUUCAAAGUCUCCUCCCAUUUAUACUUUUUUUUGUAAACAGUAAAUAUUCACUUGGAAACAUUUUUAAAAUAGUACAUGGCAUUUCUUCUUAUCAAAUCAUGUAAUCCAAUUUCGGUAACGGUAAUCAUAUCUCAAGUAACAGUAAAACAUAUCUAGUAACAAUGAGAAUCUUUUAAAUAAUUGUAAACAUCUCAAGUAAAAUAUUUCAGUACCAUAUCAAGUCAAGGACGUGUCCCACAUGCAAUUUCAAAUAUUCGGUAAUACAUUUUACUUUCAAAAUAACGUAUAAACCAUGCAAGUUAUGAAAACACAAACUGUGGUAAGAUUACUACUCACUGUACUCGUGCCAAAAUACCAAACGCACCACCCCAAGCAAUCCGUAGCACUUCCUUCAAUCAAUCUAUAAUCACAUCAUAUUAAGCUAGUAUUAAUUUUCUUGUUUAGGCUAAUCCAUAACUAAUUUAGAAGAUGCAACUCUCAAAGUUCCAUAUUUGACCAUUAAUUUGUCAAAUUAUAUUUACCCAUUUUAUGAGAAAUUCAACUAAUCCGUAAUCUAUAAAUUUUAUCCUAUUUAUAUAAUAUACUCUGUAAUUCAUGAAAGGUCCUAUGGAUUUCUCACAAUCUCUUAACCUUCUUGUUUAAAAUCGAAAUCUAGUCUAACCUCAUAUUUACUUAGUCAUGUGUGGAAUUGUGUAUAUAAAGCUACUUCUGUUUCUAAAGAAAGAAAAAAUACAUGUAAUACCUGGAGUUUAUCAUAAAAAUACACCAAUAAUUUUCUGGUUUUUAUGCCUUGUUGAUGAAAAGAUUUUCACCAAAUCUCUUCUUUGGCUUGUUUUCCCUUUUCCCAUACGAGACUUCUUCCAGUUCUUAUAAAAUCCUCAAUCUCAAAACCCCUUUCUAACUAAAGCUUCUGCUAAAGCUCUUUUACGUUUUUGAUGGGCCAAG